rnacentral:rRNA from 1 species
GGGUUGUGAGGUUAAGCGACUAAGCGUACACGGUGGAUGCCCUGGCAGUCAGAGGCGAUGAAGGACGUGCUAAUCUGCGAAAAGCGUCGGUAAGGUGAUAUGAACCGUUAUAACCGGCGAUGUCCGAAUGGGGAAACCCAGUGUGAUUCGUCACACUAUCGUUAACUGAAUACAUAGGUUAACGAGGCGAACCGGGGGAACUGAAACAUCUAAGUACCCCGAGGAAAAGAAAUCAACCGAGAUUCCCCCAGUAGCGGCGAGCGAACGGGGAGCAGCCCAGAGUCUGAAUCAGCUUGUGUGUUAGUGGAACGGUCUGGAAAGUCCGACGGUACAGGGUGAUAGUCCCGUACACCAAAAUGCACAGGCUGUGAACUCGAAGAGUAGGGCGGGACACGUGGUAUCCUGUCUGAAUAUGGGGGGACCAUCCUCCAAGGCUAAAUACUCCUGACUGACCGAUAGUGAACCAGUACCGUGAGGGAAAGGCGAAAAGAACCCCGGCGAGGGGAGUGAAAAAGAACCUGAAACCGUGUACGUACAAGCAGUGGGAGCACCUUCGGGUGUGACUGCGUACCUUUUGUAUAAUGGGUCAGCGACUUAUAUUCUGUAGCAAGGUUAACCGUAUAGGGGAGCCGCAGGGAAACCGAGUCUUAACUGGGCGUUAAGUUGCAGGGUAUAGACCCGAAACCCGGUGAUCUAGCCAUGGGCAGGUUGAAGGUUGGGUAACACUAACUGGAGGACCGAACCGACUAAUGUUGAAAAAUUAGCGGAUGACUUGUGGCUGGGGGUGAAAGGCCAAUCAAACCGGGAGAUAGCUGGUUCUCCCCGAAAGCUAUUUAGGUAGCGCCUCGUGAAUUCAUCUUCGGGGGUAGAGCACUGUUUCGGCUAGGGGGUCAUCCCGACUUACCAACCCGAUGCAAACUACGAAUACCGAAGAAUGUUAUCACGGGAGACACACGGCGGGUGCUAACGUCCGUCGUGAAGAGGGAAACAACCCAGACCGCCAGCUAAGGUCCCAAAGUCAUGGUUAAGUGGGAAACGAUGUGGGAAGGCACAGACAGCCAGGAUGUUGGCUUAGAAGCAGCCAUCAUUUAAAGAAAGCGUAAUAGCUCACUGGUCGAGUCGGCCUGCGCGGAAGAUGUAACGGGGCUAAACCAUGCACCGAAGCUGCGGCAGCGACACUAUGUGUUGUUGGGUAGGGGAGCGUUCUGUAAGCCUGCGAAGGUGACCUGUGAGGGUUGCUGGAGGUAUCAGAAGUGCGAAUGCUGACAUAAGUAACGAUAAAGCGGGUGAAAAGCCCGCUCGCCGGAAGACCAAGGGUUCCUGUCCAACGUUAAUCGGGGCAGGGUGAGUCGACCCCUAAGGCGAGGCCGAAAGGCGUAGUCGAUGGGAAACAGGUUAAUAUUCCUGUACUUGGUGUUACUGCGAAGGGGGGACGGAGAAGGCUAUGUUAGCCGGGCGACGGUUGUCCCGGUUUAAGCAUGUAGGCUGGUUGUCCAGGCAAAUCCGGAUAAUCAAGGCUGAGGUGUGAUGACGAGGCACUACGGUGCUGAAGUAACAAAUGCCCUGCUUCCAGGAAAAGCCUCUAAGCAUCAGGUAACAUUAAAUCGUACCCCAAACCGACACAGGUGGUCAGGUAGAGAAUACCAAGGCGCUUGAGAGAACUCGGGUGAAGGAACUAGGCAAAAUGGUGCCGUAACUUCGGGAGAAGGCACGCUGGUGUGUAGGUGAAGUCCCUGCGGAUGGAGCUGAGACCAGUCGAAGAUACCAGCUGGCUGCAACUGUUUAUUAAAAACACAGCACUGUGCAAACACGAAAGUGGACGUAUACGGUGUGACGCCUGCCCGGUGCCGGAAGGUUAAUUGAUGGGGUUAUCCGUAAGGAGAAGCUCUUGAUCGAAGCCCCGGUAAACGGCGGCCGUAACUAUAACGGUCCUAAGGUAGCGAAAUUCCUUGUCGGGUAAGUUCCGACCUGCACGAAUGGCGUAAUGAUGGCCAGGCUGUCUCCACCCGAGACUCAGUGAAAUUGAACUCGCUGUGAAGAUGCAGUGUACCCGCGGCAAGACGGAAAGACCCCGUGAACCUUUACUAUAGCUUGACACUGAACAUUGAGCCUUGAUGUGUAGGAUAGGUGGGAGGCUUUGAAGCGUGGACGCCAGUCUGCGUGGAGCCAACCUUGAAAUACCACCCUUUAAUGUUUGAUGUUCUAACGUUGGCCCCUUACCGGGGUUGCGGACAGUGUCUGGUGGGUAGUUUGACUGGGGCGGUCUCCUCCCAAAGCGUAACGGAGGAGCACGAAGGUUAGCUAAUCCUGGUCGGACAUCAGGAGGUUAGUGCAAUGGCAUAAGCUAGCUUGACUGCGAGCGUGACGGCGCGAGCAGGUGCGAAAGCAGGUCAUAGUGAUCCGGUGGUUCUGAAUGGAAGGGCCAUCGCUCAACGGAUAAAAGGUACUCCGGGGAUAACAGGCUGAUACCGCCCAAGAGUUCAUAUCGACGGCGGUGUUUGGCACCUCGAUGUCGGCUCAUCACAUCCUGGGGCUGAAGUAGGUCCCAAGGGUAUGGCUGUUCGCCAUUUAAAGUGGUACGCGAGCUGGGUUUAGAACGUCGUGAGACAGUUCGGUCCCUAUCUGCCGUGGGCGCUGGAGAAUUGAGGGGGGCUGCUCCUAGUACGAGAGGACCGGAGUGGACGCAUCACUGGUGUUCGGGUUGUCAUGCCAAUGGCACUGCCCGGUAGCUAAAUGCGGAAGAGAUAAGUGCUGAAAGCAUCUAAGCACGAAACUUGCCCCGAGAUGAGUUCUCCCUGAGACUUUAAGUCUCCUGAAGGAACGUUGAAGACGACGACGUUGAUAGGCCGGGUGUGUAAGCGCAGCGAUGCGUUGAGCUAACCGGUACUAAUGAACCGUGAGGCUUAACCUUACAACGCCGAAG